UCAUGUCAAAGAACUCACCACCUAUGCCACCGGAAACAACCCCAUUCCUUUCAAACUCAUUGCCAAAGAGGGUAUAAACCGUAUUCCUCAACCCACGUCCUCUGAUGAAACGGUGGUGAAGAACUGGCAGCGCCAGAUGCUGAUUUCCUUCGUGGUUGAUAGGAAACUGCUAGCGUUGCUAGCGUUCCAUGGACCUCUCGCAGACCAGAAAUCUUC
rnacentral:lncRNA from 1 species